CGCUGUCGGCGUCUCGGCGACGAUACUACGUAGGAUACUCCGAUAAUAUUAUGAAUAAUAAUUAAUAAUAAUAUUAUAAUUAUUAUAAUAAACUGCUACUAUAUCAUGGUAGGUACCGACCUAAAUAUAGGUUACAACUGAGAGGUGCUCACGGCGAUGCUUGGUGUUGUACCACGAUCGUUUACUUGCCAGGCUGAUCGGAUCCUAUCUCUACUGCUGAUGCUCGUGGUUUUCGUUGACUUUUACGUGACUCACCGCAGUCAAAACUUCAUCAAGUCGUUUAACAAGAGAUCCAACCGCAUCGCAGAUUAAACUCCACACCGCCGUGGAUGCGACGCCGACGAAGUCUUCCGUGGUACCCGCUGGUUGAUAUACUUGCAAAAAUAUGGUUUCGUUACGGGGAGAGUUACAGUGACGAUGCUAAAGUGAUCCGCAAGUCGACUAUGAACAUGAGGGUUUUCACUACGAGGUGUUGCUACAAUCGAGUGCUGAAGUUAGACCCCAAUGUUGAGAAAAAAGUUGCUGAUGAAGAAUUUGUCUUACGCUCCAUGGAUACAACUACAGAUGAAAAUAAUGUGAAAAACAAAAAGAAAGCAAAGACGAAUAUGAUAACAAAGAAGACCUUUUCUUGAGAGUUCAGAGAAUAAUGGGACCUCUUAUAUGCUUUCCAGCACGUUCACAACUAAUAUACAUAGACCACACAUUUUUCAGCUCUUGUAUACAUAUUUAUGUGGGUUGUAUCUUAUAAUCUCUAUCUACAUAUGUUAGAACAGUGUGCAGCUGUUUGUCAUGGUUGGUACUUGUGUGCCAGAGAUCUCGAGUUAUGGCAUCCAGCAUGCUUCAAGUUUUAGAAACUUCAAAAUAUAAAUCCAAACAGAACUGGAAAUUGUAAUGUGUAAAUUAUCAAAUUGUUUAUCAAAGCCGAGUCAACAAAGUAAAGGUUAAAAUACGAUUUAACUAAUAAUCGUUUUCCACCAUUUAUAUUUUCACGCGUAUAAUGCUACUCACAUGGAUAUGAACGUGUACUAUAAGUAUAAAAUAAUAAUCUCAACCAUACGUUCAAGAUUGUUUAAAAUAUUUAUGUUUACUAUCGUUUAAUAUAUUAUGUAUUAUUAUUUACUGUAUAUUAUGUACUGUGUUUAAAUUAUAAUUUAAGAAUGUAAAUUAAAUUGAAAUUCUGUACUAAUCGGUGGCCUGUGAUUUCACAAAACUGUGUGUAAUUAAUAUUUUAUUUUAUAAAAAUGUAAGUACUUAGCGUGUCUUAAUUAUAGUACAGCAUUACCUAAACAACGUCUUCUAAUAUACGGAAACAGUUUUUCUGGUUGA